UUUGGUUAAGUUAGAAAGGGCGCACGGUGGAUGCCUUGACACUAGGAGUCGAUGAAGGACGGGACUAACGCCGAUAUGCUUCGGGGAGCUGUAAGUAAGCUUUGAUCCGAAGAUUUCCGAAUGGGGAAACCCACCAUACGUAAUGGUAUGGUAUCCUUACCUGAAUACAUAGGGUAAGGAAGACAGACCCAGGGAACUGAAACAUCUAAGUACCUGGAGGAAGAGAAAGCAAAUGCGAUUUCCUGAGUAGCGGCGAGCGAAACGGAACAUAGCCCAAACCAAGAGGCUUGCCUCUUGGGGUUGUAGGACAUUCUAUACGGAGUUACAAAGGAACGAGGUAGACGAAGCGACCUGGAAAGGUCCGUCGUAGAGGGUAACAACCCCGUAGUCGAAACUUCGUUCUCUCUUGAAUGUAUCCUGAGUACGGCGGAACACGUGAAAUUCCGUCGGAAUCUGGGAGGACCAUCUCCCAAGGCUAAAUACUCCCUAGUGAUCGAUAGUGAACCAGUACCGUGAGGGAAAGGUGAAAAGCACCCCGGAAGGGGAGUGAAAGAGAUCCUGAAACCGUGUGCCUACAAAUAGUCAGAGCCCGUUAACGGGUGAUGGCGUGCCUUUUGUAGAAUGAACCGGCGAGUUACGAUCCCGUGCGAGGUUAAGCUGAAGAGGCGGAGCCGCAGCGAAAGCGAGUCUGAAUAGGGCGUUUAGUACGUGGUCGUAGACCCGAAACCAGGUGAUCUACCCAUGUCCAGGGUGAAGUUCAGGUAACACUGAAUGGAGGCCCGAACCCACGCACGUUGAAAAGUGCGGGGAUGAGGUGUGGGUAGCGGAGAAAUUCCAAUCGAACCUGGAGAUAGCUGGUUCUCCCCGAAAUAGCUUUAGGGCUAGCCUUAAGUGUAAGAGUCUUGGAGGUAGAGCACUGAUUGGACUAGGGGUCCUCAUCGGAUUACCGAAUUCAGUCAAACUCCGAAUGCCAAUGACUUAUCCUUAGGAGUCAGACUGCGAGUGAUAAGAUCCGUAGUCAAAAGGGAAACAGCCCAGACCGCCAGCUAAGGUCCCAAAGUGUGUAUUAAGUGGAAAAGGAUGUGGAGUUGCUUAGACAACUAGGAUGUUGGCUUAGAAGCAGCCACCAUUUAAAGAGUGCGUAAUAGCUCACUAGUCGAGUGACUCUGCGCCGAAAAUGUACCGGGGCUAAAUACACCACCGAAGCUGCGGAUUGAUACCGAAUGGUAUCAGUGGUAGGGGAGCGUUCUAAGGACAGUGAAGUCAGACCGGAAGGACUGGUGGAGUGCUUAGAAGUGAGAAUGCCGGUAUGAGUAGCGAAAGACGGGUGAGAAUCCCGUCCACCGAAUGCCUAAGGUUUCCUGAGGAAGGCUCGUCCGCUCAGGGUUAGUCAGGACCUAAGCCGAGGCCGACAGGCGUAGGCGAUGGACAACAGGUUGAUAUUCCUGUACCACCUCUUUAUCGUUUGAGCAAUGGAGGGACGCAGAAGGAUAGAAGAAGCGUGCGAUUGGUUGUGCACGUCCAAGCAGUUAGGCUGAUAAGUAGGCAAAUCCGCUUAUCGUAAAGGCUGAGCUGUGAUGGGGAAGCUCCUUAUGGAGCGAAGUCUUUGAUUCCCCGCUGCCAAGAAAAGCUUCUAGCGAGAUAAAAGGUGCCUGUACCGCAAACCGACACAGGUAGGCGAGGAGAGAAUCCUAAGGUGUGCGAGAGAACUCUGGUUAAGGAACUCGGCAAAAUGACCCCGUAACUUCGGGAGAAGGGGUGCUUUCUUAACGGAAAGCCGCAGUGAAUAGGCCCAAGCGACUGUUUAGCAAAAACACAGCUCUCUGCGAAGCCGUAAGGCGAAGUAUAGGGGGUGACACCUGCCCGGUGCUGGAAGGUUAAGGAGAGGGGUUAGCGUAAGCGAAGCUCUGAACUGAAGCCCCAGUAAACGGCGGCCGUAACUAUAACGGUCCUAAGGUAGCGAAAUUCCUUGUCGGGUAAGUUCCGACCCGCACGAAAGGUGUAACGAUUUGGGCACUGUCUCAACCAGAGACUCGGUGAAAUUAUAGUACCUGUGAAGAUGCAGGUUACCCGCGACAGGACGGAAAGACCCCGUGGAGCUUUACUGUAGCCUGAUAUUGAAUUUUGGUACAGUUUGUACAGGAUAGGCGGGAGCCAUUGAAACCGGAGCGCUAGCUUCGGUGGAGGCGCUGGUGGGAUACCGCCCUGACUGUAUUGAAAUUCUAACCUACGGGUCUUAUCGACCCGGGAGACAGUGUCAGGUGGGCAGUUUGACUGGGGCGGUCGCCUCCUAAAGUGUAACGGAGGCGCCCAAAGGUUCCCUCAGAAUGGUUGGAAAUCAUUCGUAGAGUGCAAAGGCAUAAGGGAGCUUGACUGCGAGACCUACAAGUCGAGCAGGGACGAAAGUCGGGCUUAGUGAUCCGGUGGUUCCGCAUGGAAGGGCCAUCGCUCAACGGAUAAAAGCUACCCCGGGGAUAACAGGCUUAUCUCCCCCAAGAGUCCACAUCGACGGGGAGGUUUGGCACCUCGAUGUCGGCUCAUCGCAUCCUGGGGCUGUAGUCGGUCCCAAGGGUUGGGCUGUUCGCCCAUUAAAGCGGUACGCGAGCUGGGUUCAGAACGUCGUGAGACAGUUCGGUCCCUAUCCGUCGUGGGCGUAGGAAAUUUGAGAGGAGCUGUCCUUAGUACGAGAGGACCGGGAUGGACGCACCGCUGGUGUACCAGUUGUUCUGCCAAGGGCAUAGCUGGGUAGCUAUGUGCGGAAGGGAUAAGUGCUGAAAGCAUCUAAGCAUGAAGCCCCCCUCAAGAUGAGAUUUCCCAUAGCGUAAGCUAGUAAGAUCCCUGAAAGAUGAUCAGGUUGAUAGGUUCGAGGUGGAAGCAUGGUGACAUGUGGAGCUGACGAAUACUAAUAGAUCGAGGACUUAACCAUAUAA
rnacentral:rRNA from 1 species